AAUCCAUAGGUUAAUGAGGCGAACCGGGGGAACUGAAACAUCUAAGUACCCCGAGGAAAAGAAAUCAACCGAGAUUCCCCCAGUAGCGGCGAGCGAACGGGGAGGAGCCCAGAGCCUGAAUCAGCAUGUGUGUUAGUGGAAGCGUCUGGAAAGGCGCGCGAUACAGGGUGACAGCCCCGUACACAAAAGCGCAUGUGCUGUGAGCUCGAUGAGUAGGGCGGGACACGUGGUAUCCUGUCUGAAUAUGGGGGGACCAUCCUCCAAGGCUAAAUACUCCUGACUGACCGAUAGUGAACCAGUACCGUGAGGGAAAGGCGAAAAGAACCCCGGCGAGGGGAGUGAAAAAGAACCUGAAACCGUGUACGUACAAGCAGUGGGAGCACCCUUUGGGUGUGACUGCGUACCUUUUGUAUAAUGGGUCAGCGACUUAUAUUCUGUAGCAAGGUUAACCGAAUAGGGGAGCCGGAGGGAAACCGAGUCUUAACCGGGCGUUAAGUUGCAGGGUAUAGACCCGAAACCCGGUGAUCUAGCCAUGGGCAGGUUGAAGGUUGGGUAACACUAACUGGAGGACCGAACCGACUAAUGUUGAAAAAUUAGCGGAUGACCUGUGGCUGGGGGUGAAAGGCCAAUCAAACCGGGAGAUAGCUGGUUCUCCCCGAAAGCUAUUUAGGUAGCGCCUCGUGAAUUCAUCUCCGGGGGUAGAGCACUGUUUCGGCUAGGGGGCCAUCCCGGCUUACCAACCCGAUGCAAACUGCGAAUACCGGAGAAUGUUAUCACGGGAGACACACGGCGGGUGCUAACGUCCGUCGUGAAGAGGGAAACAACCCAGACCGCCAGCUAAGGUCCCAAAGUCAUGGUUAAGUGGGAAACGAUGUGGGAAGGCCCAGACAGCCAGGAUGUUGGCUUAGAAGCAGCCAUCAUUUAAAGAAAGCGUAAUAGCUCACUGGUCGAGUCGGCCUGCGCGGAAGAUGUAACGGGGCUAAACCAUGCACCGAAGCUGCGGCAGCGACACUGUGUGUUGUUGGGUAGGGGAGCGUUCUGUAAGCCUGUGAAGGUGUGUCGUGAGGCAUGCUGGAGGUAUCAGAAGUGCGAAUGCUGACAUAAGUAACGAUAAAGCGGGUGAAAAGCCCGCUCGCCGGAAGACCAAGGGUUCCUGUCCAACGUUAAUCGGGGCAGGGUGAGUCGACCCCUAAGGCGAGGCCGAAAGGCGUAGUCGAUGGGAAACGGGUUAAUAUUCCCGUACUUGGUGUUACUGCGAAGGGGGGACGGAGAAGGCUAUGUUGGCCGGGCGACGGUUGUCCCGGUUUAAGCGUGUAGGUGUGUGUUCCAGGUAAAUCCGGUUCACUUUAACACUGAGGCGUGA
rnacentral:rRNA from 3 species